UUUGCAAAUAACACUCAGUUCACACAUGUCUGAUUGGUAACGAGCUAAAAUCGUGAUACAGAACAGCAGUUUGGCAUUCCACUGGGUUCUGUCAUUAAAAUUAAACAGAAUUUUUAGAUCUGUUGAACUGAGUCAAAUAUUUCCACCCUUCAUGAAACAGAACUCAACCAAUAAUCCUGACUCAAAUCCCAUCCAAUAAUCAGUACCUUAAAAAAAAAAAGCAGCCUGGGAGCCAAGCUCGGACAUCCUUUGGAGAAUGUUGGCCUUUCCAGUCCAUUUAAUACAGGAAAUACAUGCUUCCACUUGCUGCUCUCCUGAAUGAAGGUCAAACUUGCUACCUAAGUUCUUCUAUGAUUAGAGUCUGGGCCGCUGGAGGAUGAAGUUAUGAGCCGAUAUAUCUGGAAGCAGUGGCGCAGACCUCGGAAUGGACCCGUGGAACAGUUAAAGGGCUGACUGCAGACUGCCAUCUGUGCACAACCAGAAGCGUGAGCUCUCCAGAGAUCAGAGCCAGACGGUGGAAACCGCUGCAGCAUCAGCAGGAUCGAAUGUGUUCAAUCAUGGGCUGCUUGAGGAAAGAGGAAAAGCAAACCAGAAAGCACCUAUUGAGAAGUACUCAAAGAGAUUUAAUAACAGAAGUAAAACACUGAACUGAAAUACUGUGCACAAAGUUAAAAUUGGUUUGCCAGUAAAUUUGGGCUGCAAGUUCCUGCAGGUGGAGCCCCUGAUUCAGAACAAAGAUAUUGCCAAUAUAUCAGUCUGUUUCCUGUGGGCAUAAGCAACCUGAGCUCAGUGCUACAGAUGGAGUCCAUGGGAACACCUACAGUAUGUGAAGUGUGGGAUGACAGCAUUAUGGCUGUUCUGUAAGUUACGCUCAGCUGUGCACUUGAAUGCAGGCAUUGAGGAGUGUUACUGAGUGAGAGCCAGGUGGAUGUACUUUCCUCUCUCUGGGGUCAGCGGACAGAUCCAUGCUGGUCCCACAGAACCAGGUGCUCACAGAGAAUCUCAUAGAAAUCCUUUAAUAAAUGAGACAAUUGUUGGCAUAGAGUGAGAGUAUAGAACUAUAAAAUUAAAGUCAGGCUCUUCACAAGUGAUUUUACUUACGUAAUCUGAUGUAUUUUUAAGUGAAACAGGAUAUUCAACUAGAAAAAGAAAUGUAGGGUGGGACUUUGAUCCACUGGGAAUUGAUUGGACUGUGAAAUGAUGGAAGUAGGCGGUUUGAGGGAAUGGGUUUAAAAAGGCAUUCAUGCAAUUAUGUCUAUAAUAAAAAGCAAAAUGUAUCCAUUAGUGAGUGGAUGACCAAGAUGUGUUUUUCAAUGGCAAAAAAAAAAGAUAUUGAAAUUGGUGACUUGAUCACAGUCUUUGGUAUCUUGGGAAAUUUGAGACAUACAAAGUGGAUACACAUGAGAUUAUAAGAGUCAUUAUCUUUUAUUUUUAUUUUAUUUUUAUUUUUUUUCAGGAGACAAAUCCUUUUAAGCUAUUUCAGCCAAAAAUUUAAUUAACCUCAUUACUGUCUAGGAGAAGCAAUUGAGAUGUUUAACAGACCUCAUUUGUGAAU